GUAUAUGAGAGCAAUCUGGCUGCAACCUCUGUCACCCCAUUGGUCACCAGGGUUGAUUCAGCUGACCUAGCUGACUCAGCAGAUGUCCCCUACCACCAUCACCACUCCAUGUGCAUUCCUCCCUCUGCUGCCCAUUCAUUCAAAGAGGACAAUCGACCUGACAGAGAAUGACCAGUCUCUGUUCAAGGGUAUAGAGUAGCUGCACUCUACUGUGACCUCCACACAAGCCCUUGAGAAACAAGCUCAGAUAUAGGCCAUUGCCAGAUUGUCUCU
rnacentral:snRNA from 1 species